UAGGGAAUAUUAGAAAUGGACGAAAGUCUGAUCUAGCAACACCGCGUGUGCGAAGAAGGCCUUCGGGUCGUAAAGCACUUUUUGGAAGGAAUAGGAAGGAAUGUACUUCCAGAAUAAGUCUCGGCUAACUACGUGCCAGCAGCCGCGGUAACACGUAGGAGGCGAACGUUAUCCGGAUUUACUGGGCGUAAAGCGCGUGUAGGUGGUACUGUAAGUAGGGCGUGAAAGCUCCUGGCUCAACUGGGAGAGGCCGUUCUAAACUACAGAAGUAGAGGAGGGUAGAGGGAGGGGGAAUGCCAGGGGUAGCGGUGGAAUGCGCAGAUAUCUGGAGGAACACCGGUGGCGAAGGCGGCCUCCUGGACCAUUCCUGACACUCAGACGCGAAAGCUAGGGUAGCAAACGG
rnacentral:rRNA from 1 species